GAUGAACGCCGGCGGCGUGCCUAACACAUGCAAGUCGAGCGAUUCUCUUCGGAGAAGAGCGGCGGACGGGUGAGUAACGCGUGGGUAACCUGCCCUGUACACACGGAUAACAUACCGAAAGGUAUGCUGAUACGGGAUAACAUAAGAAAUUCGCAUGUUUUUCUUAUCAAAGCUCCGGCGGUACAGGAUGGACCCGCGUCUGAUUAGCUAGUUGGUGAGGUGACGGCUCACCAAGGCGACGAUCAGUAGCCGACCUGAGAGGGUGAUCGGCCACAUUGGAACUGAGACACGGUCCAAACUCCUACGGGAGGCAGCAGUGGGGAAUAUUGCACAAUGGGCGAAAGCCUGAUGCAGCAACGCCGCGUGAGCGAUGAAGGCCUUCGGGUCGUAAAGCUCUGUCCUCAAGGAAGAUAAUGACGGUACUUGAGGAGGAAGCCCCGGCUAACUACGUGCCAGCCGCCGCGGUAA
rnacentral:rRNA from 1 species